AUACGCUCAAUAUGUGGAAGGAAUGGCCCACCUAGAACCAACUGAGAUUUCCCCAUAAUCAGAACUCAGGUGUCAUAACUAAUCGCGAUGCAAAAGGUAACAGGAAAACAUAUUCAAGCAAGUACAACACUAACUUAUGAUUGAAAACCAUAACUGAGAUUUCCCCAUAAUCAGAACUCAGGUGUCAUAACUAAUCGUGAUGCAAAAGGUAACAGGAAAACAUAUUCAAGCAAGCACAACACUAACUUAUGAUCGAAAACCAGAAGGCAAAAGUUUAUAAUGGACAGGAAAAAGUUUCCUCUAUCAUACUACAGU
rnacentral:lncRNA from 1 species